UAGAAGCUAAGCCUGAAGGGGUCAUCCAGAUUUCUUAAGAAGAGGAAGAAUGGGACCCUUCUUGUUCCUAACCGGGAAGGCACUGAUAUGUGAGUGUUAAAAAAAUUGAAGAUGAAAAUGCUGGAUUGGAUUGGAUUGGAUUGGAUUGGAUGCUGGAUUGGAAAGUGCUGGAUUCCAGCACUAGGGCUGAUGUGCUGGAAGUUGCUGCUAUUUUCAGGUUGGUCUUGGAUGCAUUGAGGGAGAUUUUCCCCUACUUUCCCCCACCCCCUCCCCUAGAUG
rnacentral:lncRNA from 1 species